GACGAACCGUGCGAACGUUAUUCGGAAUCACUGGGCUUAAAGCGCGUGUAGGCGGGACGGCACGUCGGUAGCUGAAAUCCCCCGGCUCAACUGGGGAGGGUCACGCGAUACUGCUCGACUGGAAGGCAGGAGAGGGAAGUGGAAUUCCCGGUGUAGUGGUGAAAUGCGUAGAUAUCGGGAGGAACACCAGUGGCGAAGGCGACUUCCUGGCCUGUUCUUGACGCUGAGGCGCGAAAGCUAGGGUAGCAAACGGG
rnacentral:rRNA from 1 species